rnacentral:rRNA from 1 species
GACGAACGCUGGCGGCGCGCUUAACACAUGCAAGUCGAACGGAAAGGCCUGCUUUCCCUUGUGGAUUGCGGGUACUCGAGUGGCGAACGGGUGAGUAACACGUGAGUGAUCUGCCCCCAACUUGGGUAUAAGCCUGGGAAACUGGGUCUAAUUCCCGAUAGGACUGCAGGGUGGUGCCUGUGGUGGAAAACGAUUUUCUAAUGGUUGGGGAUGAGCUCGCGGCCUAUCAGCUUGUUGGUGGGGUAAUGGCCUACCAAGGCGGCGACGGGUAGCCGGCCUGAGAGGGUGGACGGCCACAUUGGGACUGAGAUACGGCCCAGACUCCUACGGGAGGCAGCAGUGGGGAAUAUUGCACAAUGGGCGGAAGCCUGAUGCAGCGACGCCGCGUGGGGGAUGACGGCCUUCGGGUUGUAAACUCCUUUCGACCGCGAGGAAGCCACCUGGUUGGAAGGGUGGUGACGGUAGUGGUAGAAGAAGCACCGGCUAACUACGUG